AUUGAACGCUGGCGGCAUGCUUUACACAUGCAAGUCGAGCGGCAGCGCGGGGGCAACCCUGGCGGCGAGCGGCGAACGGGUGAGGAACACAUCGGAACGUGCCCCGGAGUGGGGGAUAACGCCGCGAAAGCGGCGCUAAUACCGCAUAUGCUCUGAGGAGGAAAGCGGGGGACCAGCAAUGGCCUCGCGCUCUGGGAGCGGCCGAUGUCCGAUUAGCAGUUGGUGGGGUAAUGGCCCACCAAGGCGACGAUCGGUAGCUGGUCUGAGAGGAUGAUCAGCCACACUGGGACUGAGACACGGCCCAGACUCCUACGGGGAGGCAGCAGUGGGGUAAUUUUGGACAAUGGGGGCAACCCCUGAUCCAGCCAUGCCGCGUGCGGGAAGAAGGCC
rnacentral:rRNA from 1 species